GUUGAUGUGUUGCAAGGUGCAAGGAGUGUUUCCUUCUAUUAACAUGCUUUCUGUUACCUGCUCCGUUCUUCUGAUCUUUAUAUUCAGGAGCAGCAGCGGAGACUCAGUGACCCAGAUGGAAGGCCUGGUUUCUCUCUCAGAGGGGGCAUCCUUGGCCCUGAGCUGCACUUACCAGACGACUUAUUCGAGUCCUUUCCUAUUCUGGUACAUCCAAUACCCCAACAAAGCUCUUCAGCUACUUCUGAGGAGCACAACAGAAAACCAGAGGACAGAGAGUCAAGGUUUCUGGGCCACUCUUGUUAAGAGCAACAGCUCCUUCCACCUGCACAAAUCCUCACUCCAGAUAUCAGACUCGGCUGUGUACUAUUGCGCUAUGACAGACACAGUGAGAGGAACCACAGGGGGAGCUGAGCACAAACCCAAGGAGCCCAGGGGGCUGCAGCUGAGCAGCCAGGGGAGGGGAGAGUGCUGCUCUCCCUGUAGGGUGUAUUUACUCAGACUUUCUUCAAGAGCACGAACCAGCUGCAAGCCAGAUCUCCAGUAAAUUAGAAAGUCAAGGCUUGCUCUCUAUGUAGAGUGGUGGGUGUUGAAAGGGAAACUCAGUUUUGAUCUCGAGAGCAUCAAAGCUCAAUCAAAGACUUCUCUCCUCCACUCUACACUACCUCUCACUGGGAAUAUAUCCAGGAAAACCCUGA